rnacentral:piRNA from 1 species
UCUGGGAACACUCUCAAGAGAAUGCCCA